rnacentral:tRNA from 1 species
AGCUCAGUUGGUAGAGUGCUUGCCUUACAUGCACAAGGCCCUGGGUUCAAUUCCCAG